rnacentral:rRNA from 1 species
UACGUAGGGGGCAAGCGUUGUCCGGAAUCAUUGGGCGUAAAGAGCGUGUAGGCGGCCAGAUAAGUCCGCUGUGAAAACUCGAAGGCUCAACUUCGAGCUGUCGGUGGAAACUAUUUGGCUAGAGUCCGGAAGAGGAGAGUGGAAUUCCUGGUGUAGCGGUGAAAUGCGCAGAUAUCAGGAAGAACACCCGUGGCGAAGGCGGCUCUCUGGUACGGAACUGACGCUGAGGCGCGAAAGCGUGGGGAGCAAACGGG